rnacentral:rRNA from 1 species
ACGCUGGCGGCAUGCCUUACACAUGCAAGUCGAACGGCAGCACGGAGCUUGCUCUGGUGGCGAGUGGCGAACGGGUGAGUAAUAUAUCGGAACGUACCCUAGAGUGGGGGAUAACGUAGCGAAAGUUACGCUAAUACCGCAUACGAUCUAAGGAUGAAAGUGGGGGAUCGCAAGACCUCAUGCUCGUGGAGCGGCCGAUAUCUGAUUAGCUAGUUGGUAGGGUAAAAGCCUACCAAGGCAUCGAUCAGUAGCUGGUCUGAGAGGACGACCAGCCACACUGGAACUGAGACACGGUCCAGACUCCUACGGGAGGCAGCAGUGGGGAAUUUUGGACAAUGGGCGAAAGCCUGAUCCAGCAAUGCCGCGUGAGUGAAGAAGGCCUUCGGGUUGUAAAGCUCUUUUGUCAGGGAAGAAACGGUGAGAGCUAAUAUCUCUUGCUAAUGACGGUACCUGAAGAAUAAGCACCGGCUAACUACGUGCCAGCAGCCGCGGUAAUACGUAGGGUGCAAGCGUUAAUCGGAAUUACUGGGCGUAAAGCGUGCGCAGGCGGUUUUGUAAGUCUGAUGUGAAAUCCCCGGGCUCAACCUGGGAAUUGCAUUGGAGACUGCAAGGCUAGAAUCUGGCAGAGGGGGGUAGAAUUCCACGUGUAGCAGUGAAAUGCGUAGAUAUGUGGAGGAACACCGAUGGCGAAGGCAGCCCCCUGGGUCAAGAUUGACGCUCAUGCACGAAAGCGUGGGGAGCAAAC